rnacentral:rRNA from 1 species
GACGAACCGUGCUACCGUUGUUCGGAAUCACUGGGCUUAAAGGGCGCGUAGGCGGUUUGCCAAGUCAGGGGUGAAAUCUUUCGGCUCAACCGGAAAAGGGCCUUUGAUACUGGCAAACUAGAGCGAGGUAGGGGCAGAUGGAACUUCCGGUGGAGCGGUGAAAUGUGUUGAUAUCGGAAGGAACGCCGGUGGCGAAAGCGAUCUGCUGGACCUCUUCUGACGCUGAGGCGCGAAAGCCAGGGGAGCAAACGGG